AUUGAACGCUGGCGGCAGGCCUAACACAUGCAAGUCGAACGAGCGGCGGACGGGUGAGUAAUGUAUGGGGAACUGCCCGAUAGAGGGGGAUAACUACUGGAAACGGUGGCUAAUACCGCAUACUAUCGGAUGAGCCCAUAUGGGAUUAGCUAGUAGGUGGGGUAAAGGCUCACCUAGGCGACGAUCCCUAGCUGGUCUGAGAGGAUGAUCAGCCACACUGGAACUGAGACACGGCCCAGACUCCUACGGGAGGCAGCAGUAGGGAAUCUUCCGCAAUGGGCGAAAGCCUGACGGAGCCACGCCGCGUGAAUGAUGAAGGCCUUCGGAUCGUAAAACUCUGUUAUUAGGGAAGCGGUACCUACUCAGAAAGCCACGGCUAACUACGUGCCAGCAGCCGCGGUAAUUC
rnacentral:rRNA from 1 species